CCCCAAAGGAAUGCCUGCUUGUAUGAAUGGAAAAAAAGCACUUGACAGCUAACUUUUGAGCAGGAAUUGUGGACAAAGCAAAUGGAAAGUGAAGGUGGUGAGUGUGGACAGAAAUGGAGCCAUAAUGGAGCAUUGGUGGGUAUAGCUAAGGAAUACUUGGCCACCGCCAAAGUCCGCUCAGGAGAGUGAUCAUCUAAUAGGUAAUUAAGCCAAAGUGCUUCUGAUCUAGACGAUUUGGAGUAUAUGAGAGGAAGAAUUAUGUGUGAUCUUUGGGAGUGAUAAAAUGGGCAACAUAAUAAAACGUGUGCAU